UCACAGGCGGUGAAGCAGGUCUGUAGGUGUCUGUCUUUCUCUCCCCGCUUUCCGUCUGCCUCUCCUCUCUCCAGUUCUCUCUGUCCUAUCCAACAACAACGACAUCAAUAACAACAAUAAUAAUUACAACAACAAGGACAACGAAAGGGAAUAAAUAAAUAUUAAAACAAAAAGAAAAUACAGACACAGACAGACAGACAGACACAUGAUAGAGCCAGAGCAUGACUCUGGCACAUGCGAUGCUGAGAACCGAAUUCUGGCCAUGAGCCACGCCUGCAAAUCGGACGCAGUAUGCACUGAGCCACCUCCCAGGUGGCGGAUCAUCAUAUUUAAAUAAAAAUAAUAACUGGUGGUGGGUGUGGUGUGGAACUACAUGUACUGUAACCUUACAAUCUUGCAAGCCACUUUAAUCACACUUAUUUUUAAAAAAGGCCUUGACCUCCAAAAAAAAAAAAAAAAAGGCCCACAGAAAUAUACAUUUAAAAAACUCUGUAAAGAACCUGCAUAUAAUAUGAAGCAAACCCACAAACAGAACCUGCUCGCAGGGACCGGAGAAUUUACUAAAGGUAUUUCCAGCCCGACCCGGCCAGCUCAGGGCGUGAGCACACACACACCCGCCGGGUCUGCGGGGCGCGGCCCGUGCACGCCCCUUUAAGAGGUCUGGGCCUGCCCGUAGCCCCGCCCCCCGACGGCCACAGAAGUUAACGAACUGCCAGGCGCAGCCUCCCCUUAAAGGGGAAACCCCUUUCUGUCGGCAGAGGAGGGAGAGCUUCCGCAGCGCUCUGCCUUAAAGAGCUUCUCGGGCCUCUCCACUUAAAAGGAGCCGGGCCUUCCUGUAUGUGUGAUCUCACUGCUCUGCCAUCCAGGCAGAGAGGGAGGGAGAGAGACUCUGACCACAGCGCCAGGGCUUCCUCCAGUGCCACAGCAUCUUCGGUGUGAUGCCAGGGCUCAAGCCUGAACCGCACCGCCCAUGGCAAAGCAGCCACCAUACCCAGUGAGCUCUCUACCCAGGAAAAUAAAUCAUCUUUUCUCU